AUGUACUUUUUUGCUAAUUAUGAUGUUGUUGCAGAUGUUGGAGUGCCGGUGCUUCCUGAUUCUCAAAAAUCAGAACGCUUUCAAGAUCUUGUGAAUGUUAUUUUUGAGACACCAAAUCCGCUAGAAGAACUUGCGGAUGUUGCUGUUAAUGAUAGCCAUGGUGCUCCUGAGGACAUUGCUGAUGUUGUCAAAGAUAUUAAUGAUGGAAUGUAUUCUCUUAACGUUGAUGAUGUUGAUGGCAGCUUGCAGUUGUCUGUUACUCAGUCACAGAGUGUUGAUGGCACUGAGCCUGUUACUCAGGCUGAGGAUGUUCCUAUGCAGUUACAGCUCGAGGAUGAAAGGAUAAGAAAGAAGAAGUGUGAUUUCGAGAGGAGAAAGGAGUUGGAACGGCGUCAAAAGGCUGCAUGUGUUCAACGAAGUGAUCGGGAUGUUGCUCAAGCUCCUGAAGGUACAAACCUGAUGCAAACUCGUUGA
rnacentral:rRNA from 1 species